UUUUAAUGUAUAUUUUAUUUUUCUUCAAACAGCCUGGAAACUGAACUGCAUCAUAAAACUUGUGCUUGAAAAGUGUCAUGGGACCCAUAUUAAGUUUCCAAAUUUGAUCUGCUGCACACAAGUAGCUUUGAAGAAGAAGGAUCCCAUGCAGCUUAAAGAAAAACACAAGUCACAUCCAUAUUUGUUUGACAUCAUCUUCAAGCACACCUGGAUUCCUUGUUGCAAUGUCUUCAAAACAAAUGUAAAAAUGAAAGGAUUUCAGUGGUGAGCUCAUAUGAUGGGAUCAAAAGGAAGUGAACUGGACUCUGAGGGACUUAACA